rnacentral:rRNA from 1 species
UACGGAGGGGGCGAGCGUUGUCCGAAGUUACUGGGCGUAAAGGGUGCGCAGGCGGUCGGGUGUGUCAGAUGUGAAAUCCCGAGGCUCAACCUCGGAACUGCGUCUGAAACUACUCGACUAGAGUACUGGAGAGGGUAACGGAAUUCACGGUGUAGCAGUGAAAUGCGUAGAUAUCGUGAGGAACACCAGAGGCGAAGGCGGUUACCUGGACAGUUACUGACGCUCAGGCGCGAAAGCAUGGGGAGCAAAAGGG